UUUUGUAGUUGAAGCAACAAUAACUUUUCAUGUUAUAGGUUUAGGUUGGAACCCUAACAAAAAUU
rnacentral:tRNA from 1 species